rnacentral:rRNA from 1 species
AUUAAACGCUGGCGGCAUGCCUUACACAUGCAAGUCGAACGGCAGCACGGGGGCAACCCUGGUGGCGAGUGGCGGACGGGUGAGUAAAGCAUCGGAACGUAUCCUGGAGUGGGGGGAUAACGUAGCGAAAGUUACGCUAAUACCGCAUAUUCUGUGAGCAGGAAAGCAGGGGAUCGCAAGACCUUGCGCUCUGGGAGCGGCCGAUGUCGGAUUAGCUAGUUGGUGGGGUAAAGGCCUACCAAGGCGACGAUCCGUAGCGGGUCUGAGAGGAUGAUCCGCCACACUGGGACUGAGACACGGCCCAGACUCCUACGGAGGCAGCAGUGGGAAUUUUGGACAAUGGCGGAAGCCUGAUCCAGCCAUGCCGCGUGAGUGAAGAAGGCCU